GACGAACGCUGGCGGCGUGCUUAACACAUGCAAGUCGAACGGAAAGGCCCUGCUUUUGUGGGGUGCUCGAGUGGCGAACGGGUGAGUAACACGUGAGUAACCUGCCCUUGACUUUGGGAUAACUUCAGGAAACUGGGGCUAAUACCGGAUAGGAGCUCCUGCUGCAUGGUGGGGGUUGGAAAGUUUCGGCGGUUGGGGAUGGACUCGCGGCUUAUCAGCUUGUUGGUGGGGUAGUGGCUUACCAAGGCUUUGACGGGUAGCCGGCCUGAGAGGGUGACCGGCAACUUGGGGAGAGAUUGAGGCCCCAGACGCAUGGGGGGGGAAGAGGGGGGGAAUAUGGCAAAAGGGGGGGACGCUGGAUACAGCAACCCCGGGGGGGGGAGGGGGGCUUGCGGGUGUAAACCCGUUUUCGCCGGGGACAAAGGGGGGGGGAGGGAAAGGGAAAAGAAAACCCGGCCAACCCAGGGC
rnacentral:rRNA from 1 species